rnacentral:lncRNA from 1 species
UGUGUUGCAAAACAACAUGACAAAGAAGGAAGGAAGUAUGUGCUGACCAAGCCAAUGGGUACAGCUACAACAAAGGAAAAAAAGUAUCUAGGAAACUUCUGCACUGAAAGAAAAGCUCAGGUUGCCUCCAAGGGACAGCUUCAGAUCAUAGACAACAUUUUUUCAGCACCGCUAUAGCCAGAGGCUGUUUUUGGGAACAUGGCUCUUGUGUAACAGAUUUGCAGAGCUAUGCUGGAAUGCAUGUCAUUAUACUGUCUGGGCACCUCAGCUGUGAAGAUAGAAGACAAGCAGUAAUCCCUAUGAAUGGCAGCUGAACAUUUCUGCAGAAAACUCGCAGAUAACAGGGCCAUGAAUAUGAAGAUAAUUAAGGAAGACCUCUACAUCCAUGCUACAUGUGAGAGUAUGAAGACACCCAUCAGUACCUUGACUUUUCUCAGCUGAUAGCUGACUUGACUACUUUGCUGAGGUCUGUCACCUUCCCAAGUCUGAAAAGCUCUGAGAAACGAAGCAGAUCCUCAUGGGUCGAGAAAAGCUGCAGUGACACCCAGCAUUUGCAAAUCCAGCCCAGUGUGUCUGGCUUCCCCUCACAGGGUAAAUAUAAGCACAAUAAUCCAGCAUUGGGUGAUGGAGCCACUAGAGUUGACCUUUUAGAAGACUCUCCCCAGCUCUCCCAAUAUUUUAAAAACUAUAUCAUUAUCUAAGGCUUUUGGUUUUAAUAUUUUCA